rnacentral:rRNA from 1 species
CGUGCAGGCGGGCCGAAAAGUCUGAUGUGAAAGCCCCGGGCUCAACCCGGGAAGUGCAUUGGAAACUGUUGGUCUUGAGUUCUGGAGAGGAAGGGGGAAUUCCCGGUGUAGAGGUGAAAUUCGUAGGGAUCGGGAGGAAUACCAGUGGCGAAGGCGCCCUUCUGGACGGCAACUGACGCUGAGACGCGAAAGCGUGGGGAGCAAACAGGAUUAGAUACCCUGGUAGUCCACGCUGUAAACGAUGAGCACUAGGUGUAGCGGGUACUCAUUCCUGCUGUGCCGCAGCUAACGCGUUAAGUGCUCCGCCUGGGGAUUACGGUCGCAAGACUAAA